rnacentral:lncRNA from 1 species
GAGUUGUAUGCUUGAUCUAAAAGGUUGGGAGGCAACUGUGCAUGAGGAACCAAGUUUCUGCCCUUUGGCAGAAACCAGGUUCGGCAGCCGAAGGACUUUCGGCCGCCGAACCUGCUUGGGAGGCAAGCCUUUCGGCUGCCGAAGCCUGCCCCCGAAAGAGGACUUUCGUCUCUGGAGGGUAGUUUCGGCCGCCGAAAGUGCCGCCGAACAUGCAUGAGUUUCGUCUCUGUCUGGGAGUUUCGGCCGCCGAAGGUGCCGCCAAACCUGCCUAACUUUCGGCUCUGGAGGGACUUUCGGCCGCCGAACCUGCCGCCGAAAGUGCCCUGUUUAGCCUUCCUUUGCAUGCUUCCCAUGGAUGUUUUGAGGUGUUUUAAGGGGGUUUUUGGGGGAUGUUUUAGAGUCAUAUUCUAGUAUGUUUGGUCCCUCAUUUGAGUCCACCUUUGUAGGUUCGGACCCGAGGACCCCAGCAGUGACAACUGCUUCAGAGUCUUGUCAGAGUCAGCCAGAGGUGAGUAGAAUAAAUUCUUACGUUUUAAAUAAAUGAAAAACUUUAGCAUGAAUCAUGCAUCAUGAAUGCCAUGUGAUAUCCUAGGUUGCUUGCAUUAGAAUUCACGAAUAUGUUGCAUUGCAUAUCUUGAUGUUGAUGUGGGUGGAUAUUGGAUGACCCAUUGGUCCUCAGUAUGAUGAGACACGAUAUGAUAUGAUAUGGAAGUCCAGGUGUGGCCUGCACUACGCCCCUGGCACUAUGUAAGUGAAAGUCCGGGUGUGGCCUGCACUACGCCCCCGGCACAGUUGGACAUGUAUGUUAUGAGAUAUGUAAGAGAAAGACCAGGUGUGGCCUGCACUACGCCCCUGGCAUAGUUGGAUUAUGUAGAGGACCCUUGGUGACAAGUCCAUCCUUGAUGUGAUAUGGUUGUGAUGUGAUGCAUUACAUGAUAGCAUGUGUUUUAAUUGUUAUUAUUAUUCUGCUCACUGGGCUCUUGUAGCUCACCCCUUUCCCCUUAUCCCCCAGGUUUGCAGGUACAGGGUAGACCAGGAGGUCAGCAGGAGUAUAGUCUGUUUUUAUGUAAUAGUUAGAAGUUGUGGACAUGAUGAAAUUGAAAUGUAAUGUUUUAUGUAGUCAUGAUAUGUAAAAUGAUAUUGAGGAUUAGAGGUUGUGCUUGACCCUAUGUGUAUGGUAUUCCCUUUUUAUGCAUGAUCACUAUUAUUAACGAUGAGAUGAGUAAUCAAGCUUAAUGUAUGUUAUUGAUACCCCAUUGGAGCAUGUGAUGAGGGCUCUAGUGUGAGGUUUAUGGUUAUGUUAGUGUGCAUGCACAGGUUAAGCUUGAUUUAUGAAAUAAAAAGUUUACAUGUUUAUGUAUUUGUAUGAUCAUGUAUGGGAAUACACAGGUUUACAGGUUGUAUGUCAGGCUUGCUACAGGUCCCGACGGCCUUAAGCCGAUCUGGAUCCUAGCGCCGGUAGCGGUCCGAUUUUCGGGUCGUUACAGAAUGGUAUCAGAGCCCUAGGUUCAUAUGGUCAGACUUAGAGUGUCGGGCUCAUAGAGGUUAUAGAAGGUCAAGCACAAUAGGAAAGGUCAUGUCCACUAGGAUAGGAUGUGGAGUCCUGUCUUGUAUGAUGAUGUGAAAUGCCAUGAUUAUAUACAUGUGCAUUAAUGCUAUGAUAUGAAUAAUAUGUGUGUGAUGCGGGUUCAUGUGUGUCCACAUGAACCAUAUGAUGCUAACGUUUAUGUGAUGUGUACUGUUUUUCAGAAAACAGGAUGAGGGAAACUCGUCGAUCUGCACGAUUGGUUGGAGUGCCACCUGAGGAUGAGGGCAUGAGCGCCCGUCCUCUUGCAUUGCCUAGAGCAAUGUCUAGUAGGGCUAGCAGAGAAAGAGCAGCAAGAGACCCUAGAAGGUCUCUGGAUCUGGGUAGAAGCAGAUCAGUGAGGGGAACAGUUUAGGGAGGAAUAUCAGAGGACAUGGGGGAUGAUAUGGAUGUAGAGCAGAGGAGAGAUGGCAGUCUGGGAGUAAGCAUGUCAGAAAAGGGAAUGGGAGAGUCCCAAGGAGGCACUCAGGCCUCAGGAUUUGCUCAGCCACCCCACUACCCACACUUCUCACAAAAUCCCGGGUAUUCGAUGGGAGGUACGUCGGAUUACCCUAGCUUUACCCCUUAUCCCAUACACAUGCCAUACCCUCCCUACUACCCACCAUACCCACAGCACCCAAUGUAUCCACCCCCACCCUACUAUCCAAAUCCAGCUAACCCUACCUCAGAAAAUGUUGCACCUCCUCCACCAUCAGCAGAACCCACAGUUCCAGCAACCCAUAUGCCUAAGCCUAGCUCAUCUGGUGGGAGCAAGGUCAAGAUGACCGACUACAUGAAGCUGGGUGCUCCCCAGUUUGAAACCGGUGAUGACCCGUUUGUGUACCUUGAAAGGGUCAAAACAAUUACAGAUGAGAUAGGAGCUGAUGACAGCAGAGCCAUUCAGAUGGUUGGGUUCACACUCAAAUGCAAAAAGGCCCGUGAGUGGUUUAAGAACUAUGUGAGCCCAAGGUUGGACAGCCUAUCAUGGGAGGAGUUUGCAAAUGAAUUUGCAGGAUGGGCUUUUCCUGACAGUUCAAGAGAAUUGAAGAUGAUUGAGUUUGAACAGUUAAGGCAGACAGAGGAAAUGAGUGUAGACAAGUACACCGACAGAUUCUUGGAGCUGUUGCCGUUUGCAGGGCAAACUCUUGACACCGAUCAGAAGAAGUCAAGGAGGUAUAUCAUGAAACUUCACUCCAGGUAUUCCUCCUUGAUUCAGUCCGCAGAUAGGGAGAGCUUCCAUGCCAUAGUGGAUAUGGCUAGGAGGAUGGAGGCUAGUGCUAUCAUCGAGGGGAAAGUCAAGCAGUCAGUGGCACAGCCUUCUGGUUCUAAGACCCCAGGCUCUUCUUCUCUGAGUGUAGCAGCUUCAGGAAGUAAAAAGUGGGACAGAAGCUCUAGGAAGUCUAAGAAGAACAAGUUAUGGAAUAAGGUUAAGUCCAGUCUGGGAUUUGGUGGUGGCUCAAGCUCUGGUGCGGAUAAUGCAGUUUGUACAAGGUGUGGUAAGCCACACAAGGGAGUAUGUCGGUUUGGGACGACAGCCUGUUUUAGAUGCGGUCAUGAGGGACAUAUGGCUCGAGAGUGUCCAAGAGCAGUUCCGAUGGCUCAGUCCCAGCAGACAGCUUCUGGUAGUAUAGCACAGCCAGCAGCUCCAGCCACGACUCAGGCUAGUGGCAGAGGUAGAGGGAGAGGGGCAGCCUCUUCUUCAGCUGGUUUCAGAGGUGAAGGUCCAUCAGCUCCAGCACGGAUCUUCACAAUGACACAACAGGAGGCAGAUGCAUCUAACACCGUGGUGGCAGGUAACUUAGUCAUUGGUUGUUCAGAUGUGUAUGCCUUGAUGGACCCUGGUGCAUCUCAUUCUUUUAUUGCACCGAGAGCCGUUGAGAGGUUGGGGUUGAUGAUCUCUGGGUUAGAGUGUCCUCUCUGGGUCAGUGGACCCAAGUGUGAUCCAUCAGUGGCAGAGUCAGUCUGCCAGUGUAGUCCUGUGUUUGUUGAGGGAAGAUGCUUGUCCGCCGACCUUAUGGUUCUAGACUUGAUAGAUUUUGACGUCAUUCUAGGGAUGGACUGGUUAUCUACCCAUGGUGCUACCUUGGACUGCAGGGACAAGGUAGUCAGGUUCAGAGGUCAGGAUGGGUCAGAGGUAGUCUUCAGAGGAGACAUGAGGGGUACACCUAGAGGUCUGGUAUCAGCUCUUCAGGCUCGUAGGUUGCUUAGGAGGGGAUGUCAGGGGUAUUUGGCUCAUGUGAGGGAGCUUAGCAGUCAGGUUAGAGAGCCCGCCUCGGUGCCAGUGGUCAGAGAGUUUUCAGAUGUCUUCCCAGACGAGCUGCUAGGUUUACCACCUGCUAGGGAGAUAGAGUUCGAGAUAGAAUUGAUGCCUGAAACCCGACCGAUCUCUAUCCUCCCUACAGGAUGGCACCAGCAGAAUUGAAAGAGUUGAAAGAGCAGUUACAAGAACUGGUAGACAAGGGCUUCAUCCGACCGAGUACCUCACCCUGGGGUGCUCCAGUUUUGUUUGUGAGAAAGAAGGAUGGAUCCCUUAGACUUUGUAUCGACUACAGGCAGUUGAACAAAGUCACUACCAAGAAUAGAUACCCUUUGCCAAGGAUCGAUGAUCUAUUCGACCAGCUAGCAGGAGCGGGUUGUUUCUCCAAAAUAGAUCUGAGAUCUGGGUACCAUCAGCUGAGGAUAAGAGAGGAAGAUGUGCCAAAGAUGACUUUCAGAACCAGAUAUGGGCAUUUUGAGUUCCUUGUAAUGCCGUUCGGGUUAACCAACGCUCCUGCAGCAUUCAUGGAUCUCAUGAACAGAGUGUUUAGCCAGUACCUGGAUCACUUUGUUAUUGUCUUCAUAGAUGAUAUCUUAGUGUAUUCCAGGAAUGCAGAGGAGCAUGUCCAUCAUCUGAGGUUGGUUCUGCAGACCUUGAGGGAACACGGCUUGUAUGCCAAGUUCUCCAAGUGUGAGUUUUGGAGCAUUUCACUCUUGGGGCAUGUUGUGUCAGAAAAUGGGAUAGAGGUGGAUCCCAAGAAGAUAGAAGUUGUGGCUAACUGGCCUAGACCCACUUCAGUGUCAGAGAUCAGAAGUUUCUUGGGUUUGGCGGGUUACUACAGGAGGUUCGUUCAGGACUUCUCAAAAAUUGCAGCUCCUCUGACCAGACUAACCAGGAAAAAUCAGAAGUUUGUGUGGGCCGACCAGUGCGAAGAGAGUUUUGAAGAGCUUAAGAAGAGGUUAACGUCGGCACCAGUGUUAGCUUUGCCAACUAGCAAUGAGGACUUCACAGUGUGAUGCAUCCCGAGUGGGUUUGGGUUGUGUGUUAAUGCAGAAUGAAAGGGUGAUUGCUUAUGCUUCUAGACAGCUGAAGAAGCAUGAGUUGAAUUACCCCACACAUGACCUGGAGAUGGCAGCAGUAAUCUUUGCACUCAAGAUGUGGAGGCACUACCUCUAUGGGGUUAAAUGUGAGAUCUUUACAGAUCAUAAGAGCCUGCAGUACAUCCUGAGUCAAAGAGAUUUGAACUUGAGAUAGAGAAGAUGGGUAAAGCUGCUGAGUGACUAUGAUUGCAAGAUUCAGUACCAUCCGGGUAAGGCGAAUGUUGUGGCAGACGCCCUAAGCCGGAAGUCACUAGGCAGUCUAUCCCACAUAUCGGCAGAGAGGAGACCAGUAGUGAAGGAGUUUUACAAGCUCGUUGAUGAAGGUCUUCAGUUGGAGUUGUCUGGUACAGGUGCUUUAGUUGCCCAGAUAAGAGUGGCACCCGUGUUUCUGAAGCAGGUGGCUCAGAAACAGCAUGAGGACCCAGAGUUAGUGAAGAUUGCCAGGACUGUUCAGUCAGGCAAGGAUAGUGAGUUCAGAUUCGACAACAAGGGGAUCCUCCGCUAUGGGAGUCGAUUGUGUGUACCAGAUGACAUAGGGCUAAAGGGAGACAUUAUGAGAGAGGCUCAUAAUGCAAGAUACAGCGUUCACCCCGGAGCCACCAAAAUGUAUCAAGAUCUGAAGAAAGUUUAUUGGUGGCCAACUAUGAAGAGAGAAGUGGCACAGUUUGUGUCAGCCUGCGAAUUGUGUCAGAGGGUGAAGCUGGAACAUCAGAAGCCGGCUGGAAUGCUUAACCCGCUACCUAUUCCAGAGUGGAAAUGGGAAAAUAUAGCUAUGGACUUCGUAGUGGGGUUACCGGCGACGUCCAACAGAUUGGACUCCAUAUGGGUGAUUGUGGACAGACUCACCAAAUCUGCUCACUUCAUCCCUGUCAGGAGUGGCUAUUCUGUGGACAAGUUAGCGCAGGUGUAUGUCGAUGAGAUCGUCAGGCUGCAUGUGGUUCCUGUUUCAAUAGUGUCCGAUAGAGGACCCCAAUUCACCUCCAGAUUUUGGUGGAGUCUGCAGAAUGCCAUGGGUACCAGGUUGGAUUUUAGCACUGCUUUCCAUCCGCAGACGGACGGACAAUCAGAAAGGACCAUCCAGACCAUAGAGGAUAUGCUCAGAAUGUGUGUGCUGGACUUUGGCGGUUCUUGGAGGCAGCAUCUACCUUUGCCUACAAUAACAGUCAUCAUGCUAGCAUCGGGAUGGCUCCAUAUGAAGCUUUAUAUGGAGGAAGUGCAGAUCACCUGUUUGCUGGGAAGAGGUUGGAGAAAAGGCCUUGGCAGGGCCUGAGCUAGUAGAGAUCACUAGCAGGGUGGUACCCAUAAUCAGAGAAAGGAUCAAGACUGCUGCAAGCAUACAUAAGAGUUAUGCAGAUAUCCGCAGAAGACAAGUAGAGUUUCAGGAGGGGGAUAUGGUAUUGCUCAAGGUGUCUCCUAUGAAAGGAGUGGUUCGCUUUGGGAAGAAAGGUAAACUAGCCCCACGAUACAUCGAACCCUUUGAAAUCUUGCAAAAGAUUGGGAAUGUGUCGUACAAGCUGGAUUUACCUGCUUCAAUGGAAAGAAUCCAUCCGGUUUUCCAUGUUUCAAUGUUGAGAAAGUUUGUGUCAGAUCCGGGUAAGGUUCUUAGUGAGCCUGAUGUGGAGAUCCAAGAGGAUCUCACCUAUAUUGAACAGCCAGUACGGAUCAUAGACACCCAGAUCAAAAAGCUAAGGAACAAGGAAAUCCCGAUGGUGAAAGUCCUUUGGAACCACCACAAUAUGGAAGAAUGCACCUGGGAGACACGGGAGUCUAUGCUCCAGCAGUACCCUCAUCUCUUUUAAGGUUAGAUCUCUAUGUGUUUAUGUGCUAUGUAUGUAUGUUAUAUUGAUUGCUGUGCUUGUGCUAGUUGGGGAACAUUCGGGGACGAAUGUUCUUAAGGGGGAGAGAAUGUAAUACCCGGCUAGACUCCGGUAUCAGAAUUCCUACCGUCCGGUGGAAUCUCGGAUGUCGGAAGCCUCUAGUAGGGUAGAAACAUGUUUUCAUAAAAUGUUUUAAUGUAUUUUAUGGUUUUAAUCAAGUAAGAAAUGAGUUUUUUUGCAUGAAAAUAAUCUUGGAGGAAGACCCAGGUUCGGCCGCCGAACCUCAAGUUCGGCCGCCGAACAUGCAUGCACUUCGGGAGAGCCUUAGGCCCCCAAAGGCAUAAGUGAGGGAAGUCCAGGUUCGGCCGCCGAACCUCAUGUUCGGCUGCCGAACUUGCAUGCGUUGCGGAGGCACGUUCAGCUCCCGAAUGUGGCCUGGCCAGCCACCUAUAAAGGGGUCCCUUAGCCAAAAACGGGCGAGUUUUUCUCCCCAUUUUCGGCCAAGGUGAGCUCUCCGCCGUCCCUCACCGAUCUUGAGUUUCUUCCUUCCAUUCUUCAUGAUUUUUAUGAGUUUUCACCUUCGUUUUGAAGAUUUUCGAGUAUAAAGCAAGUUUUGAAGCUUUGAGGUUCAUGAAGCUCAAUCUCUCCCAUCUCCGAGCUAGGGUCGUUCUCCUCUCGAUCUUCAAGAGGUAAGGGCCGAUCUUGAGCUCAUUUUAUGUUUUAAACAAGUUUUAAGUUGAUCUUUGGGGUAGAAAUGCAUGUUUAGAUUUUUAGUUGGUUUAAGGGUUAUGUUAAGUUUUUGAGCAAUGUAUGAUGCUUGUGGUCGUUUGAUGUGUUGUAGAUGGGGUUUAGGAUAGUUUGAAGCCCCUAGGAGCUGAUGUAUGUAUCUAUGUAUGUUUUGAGUGAGUUGUAUGCUUGAUCUAAAAGGUUGGGAGACAACUGUGCAUGAGGAACCAAGUUUCUGCCCUUUGGCAGAAACUAGGUUCGGCAGCCGAAGGACUUUCGGCCGCCGAACCUGCUUGGGAGGCAAGCCUUUCGGCUACCGAAGCUUGCCCCCGAAAGAGGACUUUCGUCUCUGGAGGGUAGUUUCGGCCGCCGAAAGUGCCGCCGAACAUGCAUGAGUUUCGUCUCUGUCUAGGAGUUUCGGCCGCCGAAGGUGCCGCCAAACCUGCCUGACUUUCGGCUCUGGAGGGACUUUCGGCCGCCGAACCUGCCGCCGAAAGUGCCCUGUUUAGCCUUCCUUUGCAUGCUUCCCAUGGAUGUUUUGAGGUGUUUUAAGGGGGUUUUUGGGGGAUGUUUUAGAGUCAUGUUCUAGUAUGUUUGGUCCCUCAUUUGAGUCCACCUUUGUAGGUUCGGACCCGAGGAACCGAGGACCCCAGCAGUGACAGCUGCUUCAGAGUCUUGUCAGAGUCAGCCAGAGGUGAG